UCACGGGGGUGGGGUGGGGGGUGGGGUGUUCCUGUGUGCCAGAGCUGGGCGUCCUGGUUCUGUGUUCCAGCAGCUCCCCCACCCCGAGUUACAUGUCACAGCACCCUUGUGAACCGAGAUUUUCCAGCCUUUCCCAGUGCACAGGCCAGCUGACGCCUUCCUUGGCAUGAGGCCCCACCUGCAUGGGCCUUGCCUCCCGGGCGAGCCUGGAUGACUCACUGAUGCUCCAGCGCUGAGGGCCUCCUGUAUGGCAGCCCCAUAUGCCUGGCCACAGAGCAGUUCUGCCUGAGACCAUCCCUAGCACCCUUGUUUUCUUUAAUUUUUUUUAAAGAUUUUAUUUAUUCAUGAGAGACACAGAGAGAGAGGCAGAAACAUAGGCAGAGAGCGAAGCAGGCCCCAUGCAGGAACCCGAUGUGGGACUCGAUCCCGGGUCUCCAGGAUCACGCCCUGAGCUGAAGGCAGCCAGAUGUCCCUAGCAUCCUUGUUUUCUUUAUCUUGACUUCACUUAUCUCAGGUCACAAGUAGAGAGUGACAAGGCCAGAGACCCUCUCUUGGGUUUGGUGUGCCUCUGACCACCCCGCCAGGAGCCUCCUUUGAUUUUAUGGAUUUCGAGUGAGAACCACUGUACCAGCCAAGGAAGGCCAUCAGUCAUGGACCCCUGGAACCAGUGGAUCCCCCAAACCAAUGAUAGGAGUUUGGGGAGGCAGGGGUGUGGCUCCUUUGGUGGAUCAAAAGCAGAGGAAGAAAGAUUUCCUUGGGGACCUGGGAGAAGCCAGGUUGCUAGUUGUUGUCCAUGGCAAAUAGACCACUGCCCUCCUCUGGAUAGAAUCAGAGGUACCCCAUCCUCCUCAACACCCCCCCACCAUCCCUACUAUGGAGCACUUUUAUUUUUUCUUGGUAGAAUGGGAAGCACCUUUCUUUCUUUCUUUUUUUUUUAAUUUUUAUUUAUUUAUGAUAGUCACACAGAGAGAGAGAGAGAGGCAGAGACAUAGGCAGAGGGAGAAGCAGGCUCCAUGCACCGGGAGCCCGACGUGGGAUUCGAUCCUGGGUCUCCAGGAUCGCGCCCUAGGCCAAAGGCAGGUGCCAAGCCGCUGCGCCACCCAGGGAUCCCGGGAAGCACCUUUCAAGCUUAUUUGUGAACCUUCCAAUCACAGCACCAUUGGGCAUCCGAGACCCAAGAAUCGCUUUUGUGUUUUUCCAGGAGAGGGAAAUGAGAUCACUUGUCAAGAAAUGUACAUUUUCUCAGAAGACCUUGAUGCCAUGGAAGCAGCAAGGCACAAAACCAUAAAUGACGGACGGCUGAAGCACAUGGGCUCAGAGCUUAAGCUCCUUCUUCCUGAACGUUCGCCUGCUUCUGCCACGAGGCUGGAGUGGACAGUCUCAACCUCCCAGGGACUCCGCAGUGCUCCGUCUGCGCAGGUCAGGAAACAGGCUCAGAAUGAGGAACAGCUGAUCCGAGUUCACGGAACGACAGAGGAUGGCGAGGCCGCACCUGAAGCCGCCAGUCCACGUGUUAGCUCCUGGACCGUGUCACCUGCCGUCCACCACCGCGGCAGCAGAGAGGCCCCCUCAUUCCUGCGCCUGACUCCAGAGGAACCUGGGCCUUAUCCCAGGGAGGCCUAGCGGACCACCCAAACGGCCACCAAAAUGGUUUAGGGUGAAGAUCAGGACCUGGCCUGAAAAACAGGAGGCGGCGUUGGGCUCUGGCUGGCUGGGACUGUCAGGGCCUGGGCCGAAGCUCUGUUCGCGGUCCUGGCGGGGGCGGG
ensembl:lncRNA